AGGCACGUGCCCGAAAGAUAGGGAUCACAUUGAUACAGUGAAAAAUAAGAACUAGAACCCCUUCGUAGCCUA
rnacentral:tRNA from 1 species